GGGAAGCAUCCGGAUAAGGUUCAGUGGAGUAGUAUAAUAGGAAUACGGGAGGAACCGGGAAUAAGGUGGAGGAGACAGAAUAAGAAGAGAGAAUGAGGUGGAAUAGAGGGAAUAAAGUGGAGGAGAGGGAAUGUCAGACAUGGAGCAUCCCAACAGAUAUUUCAACCCAGGCACCUCAUAGCACAAAGGAGACCGAUGAGACAGAGGAUCAGGUCUGACGGCCUGUCUGUCCCCCUGAAGAUAGCUGAUGCUGCACCUGUCUGUGCAGUCAGUUGAGUGGAGUGUUGGGAGGCCUCAGCCGUAGGCUACACAGACAGUGUUAGAACUAUUUCAUCUUUCAAGUCCCCCCAUGACUUCAGGAGAUGUAUUUUCAAUCAGAAUAAGCUAUUCUGGUAUUCUAGAGGUCGUAUCAGUUUGACGACUGAAGUCGACUUGAGUGGUCUGCCGCAUACCGACUCAUUGAGACAAACAUAAUUGAAGCGUUUCAGGUCAACUUUGAGUGAAUCCCAGAGAGCACAGCCUUUGCGGAUUUCCCCCUUCGGUUCUAUAAUUAAACUGAGUGUACUUUUCUGUAGACUGGCUGGGGAUACGCUCCUUGUUAUGAACAUUCAUUUGCAUCCAGUUCAUACGGGAAAUGUGAGGGGGGAAACAAGAGGAUUAUCUGAGAGAGAGCAACAGAGAGAGAGAGAGAGAGUUUGAAUAAAGAAAGAACGGCCUCCUUCCCUCCAAACAGCAUUCUUCCAAACCCCCAGGUUCUCUCUCAGAGAGGUCAGACUUGGGGUUCCUUCCCAGAAGUGGUCCCACCCUCCACAGCUCUCCAUAACAAAGCUCUGGAAUACUGAUUAGGAUAAUACUGAAUUAUAAUGUAUUUAAAGACAGGAUCAUACAAACAUUUGGGUUAUAUUACCACACUACGUGUACUAUGUGGAAAAGAGGAAGUGUGGACCAAUGUUAAAUCAAAACAAACUUUCUACACUGACAGUGAUCUCAACCAUCUGGUGAGGAUUUGUGAUUUUGCAACAUGUAGUUGCUACCGCACUAACUAGACUGUCUUCACCCGACUCAAUCCAGUUAAACUGGCUUGAUUAUGAAGGUUUCAUCAUGUGUUUCAUGUGGAUUUCAUAAUGUGUUUCUAUGUUUUUGCACACCUAUGGGCGUUUAUUAGUCUGUUUGAAUUCCCAGUAGCCAUUUGCAGGUACUUUAGCAAGAGCUAUACUCUGCCUUGUCUCAGGAUAGUAAGUUGGUGGUCGGUCGUAGAUAUCCCUCUAGUGGUGUGGGGGCUGUGCUUUGGAAAAGUGGGUGGGAUUAUAUCCUGCCUGUUUGGCCCUGUCCAGGCUUAUCAUCGGACGGGGACACGGUGACUUCUGACCCCUCCUGUCUCAGCCUCCAGUAUUUAUGCUGCAAAAGUUUGUGUCGGGGGCUAGGGUCAGUCUGUUAUAUCUGGAGUAUUUCUCCUAUCUUAUCCGGUGUCUUGUGUGAAUUUAAGUAUUCUCUCUCUCUCUCUCUGUCUCUCUCUGUCUCUCUCUGUCUCUGUCUGUCUCUGUCUGAGGACCUGAGCCCUAGGACCAUGCCUCAGGACUACCUGGCCUGAUGACUCCUUGCUGUCCCUAGUCCACCUGGUCGUGCUGCUGCUCCAGUUUAAACUGUUCUGCCUGCGGCUAUGGAACCCUGACCUAUUCACCGGACGUGCUACCUUGUCCCAGACUCUCUAGAGUUGACAACUGACAUUUACUCCUGAGUAUUAGCAUACCCAUGGUGGGAAAGUCCAGCAUGCCAUUUUCUGAUUGGGGCACCAAUGCCGAGGAAAACAGCCAACCAACGAGAGGACCCCCUGCAGGGACAGCUGCCGUGUCAUUCAAAUGAACUGAGGACAUUUCUGCUCAUCAUGACUCUCUCUGUGUGUGUGUGUGUGUGUGUGUGUGUGUGUGUGUGUGUGUGUGUGUGUGUGUGUGUAAGUAAAAAAGAGAGAGAGAGAUGGAGAAAGAGUCAGGGGGAAGCAUAGCGAAUUUGACCGAUUGAAAAUUGAUGCAGACCGUUUGUUUUUCCAACAUAAUGGAGCAUGAACACAGUGAAAAAUGUCACUUUUCAACACUCUUUCAGUGUUCUUUCAUCACUCUUUGUAGUGCCAUCUGAGGCCACAGGCUCGUUCCCUUGUUUUCGGGGGUAGGCGUUCAAAUGGGCCUUUUCCUCUGGGAGGCCUGAGUGGAACACAUUCAUCACAUGGGCUCCAAUCUCUCUCUCUUCUCACUUCUGACUUUUGGUCUCUCUUUUCUCUUGCUCUUUUCCUCUCUCACCCCAUGUAGCACAUUUGGUUCCUUGAAAUAUGUGGGAAUUAAGCCAUGAGUUUCCUGACCAUUAAAAUGUUUUUCCUCAA